UUUUUUCUUCAUGAGAAAUAAAUUACUGAUCACACCCAGAUUUGAAAAUAAUUCUGCUUUAUUUUAGAUGCCUUAGAUGUUCACCCAAAAUUGGAAAAGUUUCAGUGAGAAAAGGGCCAUCUGAAUCAUCUACCCGGAAUUCUUAUAAUCUUUUACUUGCAUCCCUUACCAUGCUGAGCUUGGUCAGGGUAGCAGAUGAAGCAAAGGGAGAAGGUUGGAUGUAAAGACUGGAUGAAGAACUGCAGAGUGAGAAAGCAAUGAGAAGGUAAGAGAGAAACACUCAUAUUGGAGAACAUCUUCUUUAAACAUAACAAAACAAGAUCCAGAAGGCUUUUCCAUUUUUUUUCCCUUUCAACACAAACUUUGCCAUAGAGUUGAAUAUUACAAUUUGAAGGUAAUUAGAGUAUUGUCUCCAUAUCUUUAUUCCUAUUGACUUUU
rnacentral:lncRNA from 1 species